ensembl:snoRNA
UGGUCCAGUGACGAUAACUGGUGGUUUUUGAAUCAUAUACAAUGAAUACCUCAUGUCUAGAAUUUUGAGGUCCCA